AAGACUAUAUUUUCAGGGAUCAUUUCUAUAGUUUGUUACUGAGAGGUUUCUCUGGAUAGAGCACUGGGAACUGUGAAGAAAGUGGGGUUUUCUCUUCUGAUGUGAAACCACCUUCGGUGUUACUUAGCUAUAGCUGCCAUUUGCCAUUGAUGGUUGUUCUUUUUCUUUGAGAAACAAGAAAAAUUUUGGUCAUAUGAAUCAGU
ensembl:snoRNA U3 Small nucleolar RNA U3